GGGCGUUUGGCACAGUGGUAGCGCGCCUGCUUUGCAUGACGUAAUGCAAUUACGUAAGCUUGCAUGAGGCCGAGGGUUCAAACCCCUCAACGUCCA